rnacentral:rRNA from 1 species
CUGGCUCAGGAUGAACGCUAGCGACAGGCCUAACACAUGCAAGUCGAGGGGCAGCACAAGGAGCAAUCUGAGGUGGCGACCGGCGCACGGGUGAGUAACACGUAUGCAACCUGCCUGUAAGCGGGGAAUAACCCGUUGAAAGACGGACUAAUACCGCAUAAUACUAAAUUACUGCAUGGUAAUUUAUUUAAACAUUUAUGGCUUACAGAUGGGCAUGCGCAUGAUUAGCUAGUUGGAGAGGUAACGGCUCCCCAAGGCAACGAUCAUUAGGGGUUCUGAGAGGAAGGUCCCCCCACACUGGUACUGAGACACGGACCAGACUCCUACGGGAGGCAACAGUGAGGAAUAUUGGUCAAUGGACGAGAGUCUGAACCAGCCAAGUCGCGUGCAGGAAGAAUGUUCCCUAUGGAUUGUAAACUGCUUUUGCAGGGGAAUAAAGUGCAUCACGUGUGAUGUUUUGUAUGUACUCUGCGAAUAAGGAUCGGCUAACUCCGUGCCAGCCGCCGC